rnacentral:rRNA from 1 species
GAUGAACGCUAGCGACAGGCUUAACACAUGCAAGUCGGAGGGGCAGCAUGUAUUUGUAGCAAUACAGAUUGAUGGCGACCGGCGCGACGGGUGAGUAACGCGUAUGCAACUUACCUAUCAGGAGGGGGAUACGCCCGGACGAAAGUCGGAUUAACUACCCCAAUAAAACGACGGGGGUCCCGCAGUGGGGAAAUUAUUUUAGGUUAAAAGAUUCAUCGCUGAUAGAUAGGCAUGCGUUCCAGUUAGC